ACCUGGAUCAGGUAAUGGAGUUUGUGAAGCCAAGUUGGCAGUUUGUAAAGGACUCAGUUCUGCUGGUUAAAAGAUGCACCAAACCCCACAGAAGAGAAUUCCAGAAGAUUGCCAUGGCCACAGCGAUAGGAUUUGCUAUCAUGGGAUUCAUUGGCUUCUUCGAGAAACUGAUCCAUAUCCCUAAUAAUAACAUUAUUGUGGGUGG
rnacentral:lncRNA from 1 species